AAUUAAUUUAAAGUAGAAUUAAAUAAUUAAAAUUGGCAUUAAAUAUAUAAUUUAUGAAUUAAAUGUCAAUUUAUAUAAUGUAAUGUUAAAUAUUUCUUUCGCAAUUCAAUUAAUUAUUUAAUUAAUUAAUUUAAUUAUUUCAUGUUACGUGUGUUUCAGCACAUCAUUAAUUAAAUUAAUCUGUCAAUCUCACCCAUCAAAGUCAGUGGGCGGAACCACUGACGUAAACGGGCGGGACUAGUGCCAAUCUGGUGUUAUCGACUGCUUUGGUCUGAAGCCUAACACCUCCUACAUGACAUGAAUGGAUCAAGGAGGAAAGCUGCUUCUAUUCGAAAUAUGAUGAAAAAGGCGUUGUGAGUGAUUGGGACUGUAGCACUGUCAACAUUUCAAGUGAAAGGCUUAGAGUUUUAUCUUUAGGAAAAUGUAUUCGUGAAAUUAGCUUCUUGGCCAUGACGUUUUAAAAGGAGUGGAUGCAUGUUGUCGAGAUACGUUGAGGAUGACAGCUGCCUCCAAGUUCUACUUGGCUUCCUCGUUGAGGAUGACAGCUGCCUCCAAGUUCUUCUUGGCUUCCUCGCGGCCUAUCCACUAGGGCUCCGGGAACCAAAUCUCCUUCAUCAUCGUUUGACACACUUUCUCACAGAAAUAAAAAGGGGAUACUGUGACCAAACCGGCCUACUGAUGUCCAUACAGUAGCCCUACACAAGACCAUGUCUGUCACAUUGGUGCCAUGACCGAGUUGGACCUUCGCCCAACCGGGAUCAUUCUGGACAUCAUCUGCGUUGUGAUAAUCAUCAAAGCCUGACUGCCCACAACACCUGGAUCAGAGAGCCAGUCCAAUGAAAUCUGUCAAGAAAACCGCAGAUAAACAAGGCCUGUAUCAUCAUUGUAGUCUAGUACUACACUUUUAUUAUACACGAAGACAGAACAUGAGAUGCUUGUAUCAUUGCAAAAAAAAAAAAAAAACUAACUAUACAAUCAGUCAUGCACUCUCAGACGCACUCACUUACUAUACAACUCACCACACACGUUAUCCAUUACAAUGUGUUCAUUCAGCUCUAACAUACCCACAUUUUUAAUUGAAAAAACCCUCAAAUCUCAAGAACCUGAAUGCAGCGUAAAUGUGUCUCCUGGCUACAAUGGGUUAAAGCGCUGGAGGCCAGAAGGAAAGUAGAGUGAUUACACUCAUUCUCAAACUGGACGCAAUGUGGACAGUAUUCCAAGUGUGCCUUUAAAUAAUAUUGGUUUGUGGGUUUUGUGUUGUUUAUUGGGUCAGAGGUGGGCCCCAAGGUUCAAUUACACCAUUAGGUGUAAGUGAUCACCAUUCUUUGUUACACCAUGAUUUUCCUAAAUGUAUGUAUAUUCCAGUUCAGUCUUGUUUAUAUAAUUCUGCACAACUUGGUUCAUCUUUCUUCCCAUGUUUAACUGCAGUCAACCUGCCAUCCAAGCCGAGGCCAAACACAUCAUAGCACUGAGGUGGUCAACCAAGGUUGCAGAUAGGGAUGACUUCCACGACGUGUCCACCAAGACCAGAGGAGGCUGCUGCGGACAGCUUCCCUGCGAGAAACCUUGCUACGCCCAGUAUAGGCACACAACUCUAAUUUCACUGCAUGUUUUAGUAUUUCUAUGCAUGCAACCUAUAAAUCCUUUAAAUCUUGCAAUUGAUGUAGACUUGUAAGCCAUCUUUAAGCAACUAAUACGUUAUUCUAACCUCUUCACAUUGAUACACAUUUUGUGCACUUCAGAUUAAUUUCCUGUAUUUUGUUCUUGCUCUUUCCCUGCAGAAACACAAUUGAACAGAUUUAAUAAAUGUUCGUCUUUGUCAAUAAUUGUAUCUUCUUUUCAGCAUGAACUGAGCCAAGUUAACUUUCUAGUCAAAGUAUCUAUUGGAGGCAUAAAUAACAAGAGGAAGACUAGCCAUCAAUAAUUACAGUAUUUACAAGCAGUGAAAGAGGCACGGACUAUCCAAAUAUUUGUUACAGUGAAGAAGUUGUGAUGCUGUACGUGUUUACUCCAUCUACAGGCUGCUAUAGACUUAGUUUUCCACAAAGAAGCCUAGAGUCGAGACCUUUGUUCAAUCUUCUGACAUGCUCUUACUCUUGACAAAUGGGUACUAUAUCAGCUUUAUUACUUUAUUGAAUCCUAAAAUUGUCCAGCACGUAUGAAUUGGACGUUGUAUCUUGGAGUAAAUAAGCUACUAUCCAGAUUUAAAGAUCAAGGUGAGCUGAAAGAAUGUUUUCAUCCCUGCGCAAGAGGCCAGGAAGGUUUGUCAAAGGUUGGAGUAAGUCUCUUUUUUUUCGCGACUAAUCGUGACUAGAUAUAUCGAUCAGUCCAGUGUUUCUCAACAGGGGUGCUGCGGAAAAGUGGCUGAUAAAUAAAUUAUGUAAUAUAAGAUAUAUUUGUCUAAAUUGAUAAGUUAAUGCUAGUCAGUGGAAUCUUUCAUCUGCCAUUUACGCACAAUAAAGUAAAUUUAUGUCACCCCAGUAAGCUGCAACUUCAAACGUAGGUAGUGUGACCAAAUGUGUUACUUUUCUAAGCUUGUGUGGUAUCGGAUGCGAUGCCAUGUUACGGCUUGUUGGUUUGGGGUGCCUUGAAAUUUUUCAUGAAUUGGAAGGGUGCCUCGCCUAAACAAAGGCUG